GUGCCAGCAGCCGCGGUAAUACGGAGGGUGCGAGCGUUAAUCGGAAUUACUGGGCGUAAAGCGUACGUAGGCGGCCUGUUAAGCAAGAUGUGAAAUCCCCGGGCUCAACCUGGGAAUGGCAUUUUGAACUGGCAGGCUCGAGUUCUGAAGAGGGUGGUAGAAUUUCCUGUGUAGCGGUGAAAUGCGUAGAUAUAGGAAGGAAUACCGGUGGCGAAGGCGGCCACCUGGUCAGAAACUGACGCUGAGGUACGAAAGCGUGGGGAGCAAACAGGAUUAGAAACCCCUGUAGUCC
rnacentral:rRNA from 1 species